GAUGAACGCUGGCGGCGUGCCUAAUACAUGCAAGUCGAGCGAACGGACGAGAAGCUGCCUCCCUUAUGUUUGCGGCGGGCGGGGGAGUAAACCGUUGAUAACCUACCUAUUAGGCCGGGGUAACCUUGGGAAACCGGAGCUUAUACCGGAAUAUUAUUUUAACCGGCAGGGUUCAAAGGUAAAGGCGGGUUUUGCUGUCCCUAUUGGUGGAACCGCGCUGCAUUAGCUAGUUGGUAAGGUAACGGCUUACCAAGGCAACGAUGCAUAGCCGACCUGAGAGGGUGAUCGGCCACACUGGAACUGAGACACGGUCCAGACUCCUACGGGAGGCAGCAGUAGGGAAUCUUCCGCAAUGGGCGAAAGCCUGACGGAGCAACGCCGCGUGAGUGAUGAAGGUCUUCGGAUCGUAAAACUCUGUUAUUAGGGAAGAACAUAUGUGUAAGUAACUGUGCACAUCUUGACGGUACCUAAUCAGAAAGCCACGGCUAACUACGUG
rnacentral:rRNA from 1 species